CUUGUAGCACCAUGACAAAGAAAAUGAGCAGUGUUCUGCUUUCUUAUCAAAAACAGAGGAGCACUAUAAAACAAAACACACAUUUCAUUAAAAGGGUGUAAAAGAAAGGACUUGUAACCUCUGAUGGGUUAAGUACAAAAUUAUGAGAAGGAUACAGAAGGAAGUUUCAGGGUCAGCUUCCAAAAGUUAUAAGAAAUAAUAACAAGUCUUUCUAGAACAAAUCAGGGAGCCUGCUGGAGUUUGACAGCUCUGUAAGGCAAAUAGAUUGUUUCAUACACAGAAGAAACAUCUGGAGAAGAUACAGUCAGGAAAAAAAGGCAGAAUUUAUUUUUGCAUUUGUGAAUGGGAUAGAUGAGCAUGGGUAAACUCCAAUAAUGGGAAGCUUCUUUAAGGGGAAUAAUUAGGAAAACAUAUCUUGGAUUACAGUGCAAGUAUAAAAGAUGAAAGAACACGUUAACAAGUGAGCAACAGCCAACUGCUGAGACCAGAUGGUGUUCAACCACGAGCUGUCAAGCAGCUCAGAGACAAAGUGGUUCAGGUACUAACUGCUGUUUCUGACUUCUCGGCAUCAGAGGGGUCUGAAGAGCUGCACAUGUGAGACCAGAUUUUUUUAAGGAUUUUGGAGAAGAUUGUGGAAGCUGUACACCUGGAAGCCCAAUCUCCUUGACAGACGAAUAAGUAGAAAUUAUGCUGAAGAAUAGAAAAAACUCAGUGGCCACAUAGAAAAGAUGACACAUUAGGGAAAGCCAUUACGGCUUUUUUAAAGCAAAGUAGUGUCUCAGGAAAGCUUUCUUUGAAGAAGUCAAGAAGCUCAUGGACCAUAAAGAUUCAAUUAACUGUCUAUGAUGGUUUCCAAAAGCAAUCAGUAAGAUUCCUCCCCAAGGGAAGUAAAAAGCAAGGCUGCUAAUGGAUAUGAAACUUGGACAAGUAACUGAUAGAAAUGGAGGCCAGUAGUGAUUUACAAAAUAUGUUGCUGAUAAUGAGCUAUUCAGGGUAGGGCUAACUGAGAAAAACUGAAUUACUUUUAUGCUACUAACAGAGUCGGUGGCAAAAUGGCAGAUGAAAUUAAAUCUGAUAAAUAUGAAAGGCUGACAUAUGAGGAAAAAAAAAAAAAAACAAUCCUGAAUUUCACAUAUAUACUGAGGAACUUUGAGUGGAUUUUUACCAGCGAGAAAAAAGGCCUUGAGAUUGUGAAAGCUGAUUCUGUGAGAACAUCAACUCAGGGCUCAGCAGUGAUCAAAAUGGAAAUUGAGAACUGUCAAGAUUAUUGUUAAAAUUUAUUAAGACAGAAAUAGAGAUAAAAAGUGCCAUUGUAUCAAUUCCUGUUUGCACCUGCAUCUUUAAUUGCUUGUGCAGUUCUAGUUCAAAAAUAGUAUGGUAGAACUGGAAUAGAUUAAAUAAAAAUCAAUACAAUUAUUAGAAAUAGUAGGAGGGCUUUGAAAGGGAUUAAGGUUGACUCGGCUGGGUUUCUUCAGUCUCCAGGGAAGGAGAGAUAAUAUCAAAGUCUAUGUAAAAUCUUCAGAGAUGCAAAUAAGAACCAGGAAUCCAGACUGUUCACUGACUUAUCAGACACGAGAACUGAGCUACAGCAAAUGAAAUGAGAACUUGGAAAGUUCAAAACAAACAAGAAGAGAUAGUGCUUCAUUCAGUCUAUAGUUAAGCCAGAAGUCUUUGCUUCAGGAUAUAGUGGGUACCAAAACUUUGCAUGAGCUUAAAAAGCAACUGGAAAAUCAUCAAAGAUUCUUGAUCUAACUCAGCAAGUUCUUGACUUCUUGGCAGCAUCCCUCUGGUUUAUCUGCCACGUGACUGUCCCCUACGUUAAUCAUGCUGCUUCCCAGCCUGCACGGUGCACCCAGCUCUGCUGUGCUCAGACCACCGUGCACACCUGGCCCCGCUUCCAGCAGCUUUCUGGACUCUGGACGUGCCUUCUGUUGGCCUUCAGCCUGCUUGGCGUGUCACGCUGUACAGUGGAUGCAGCACGUUUAUGUUUAGCUCCCUGAUUUCUGGAAGAGCAAGUUGAUACUUGGCUGGAAAGAGGCCAGGAAGGAACUGGAGGUGGUGCCUUUAUGGACCAUUGGAGAAGAAUUCAGUUCAUCAAAGGAAUGAGGAGGCGAUGAGUGACCAAGUUGCCACUUCUAGAGGGUUGAGCAACACAACAAGGAUUUCCCCAUCCCUUCAACCUAAUCUUCUGGAGAAGAGAAAAGCAAGCCCUUCAUUAAAGUGCUAAAGACCACUUUAAUGGUAAAGAAAGAGCAGCAGAAGAAAUGGGCUGAGCUGAAUCUGGACUAACUCAGAUGGGAAGCUCAGAGCUGGCACCUGGCAGAAUGCAACCAUAAAGUGUCCCUGGAGAAAUUCUCAGCUGCCUCCUAUCUCUCCUACCUGCUGCCUGGAGCAAAACAUGGGAGCACAGCAUGAUGGAGAGAGCAAAUAGUCAGGUUGGAAUAGGAA